rnacentral:rRNA from 1 species
UACGUAGGGGGCGAGUGUUAUCCGGAAUUACUGGGCGUAAAGCGCACGCAGGCGGUUCGCCAAGUUUGGAGUGACAGUUGUCGGCUCAACCGACAAAGGACUUCAAAAACUGGUGAACUUGAGGACGAGAGAGGAACAUGGAACUCCAGGUGUAGUAGUGAAAUGCGUAGAUAUCUGGAAGAACACCAAUGGCGAAGGCAAUGUUCUGGCUCGUUUCUGACGCUCAGGUGCGAAAGCCAGGGGAGCGAACGGG